rnacentral:misc_RNA from 1 species
UUUUUCCACUGUUGGAAUUCAAAGGCGUCUAUCAUUCCAAGCCUUUCCAAACGAGGGAUAUCCCUCACUGCUAGAGGGGAAAGUAUGGAUCAAGGAAUGUCUCAAACUUUUCUUCAACCCUCUGAUCAACAGACGUGUAUCCCUAGAUGUUUUUAAUAAUAGUUUGAGAAGAGGUUGAAGUCAUUUUUUGUGAGGGUAUUAGGGAGAUGAAGAAUACUAGAAGUAUAUAAG